GAUGAACGCUGGCGGCGUGCCUAAUACAUGCAAGUCGAGCGAACGGACGAGAAGCUUGCUUCUCUGAUGUUAGCGGCGGACAGGUGAGUAACACGUGGAUAACCUACCUAUAAGACUGGGAUAACUUCGGGAAACCGGAGCUAAUACCGGAUAAUAUUUUGAACCGCAUGGUUCAAAAGUGAAAGACGGUCUUGCUGUCACUUAUAGAUGGAUCCGCGCUGCAUUAGCUAGUUGGUAAGGUAACGGCUUACCAAGGCAACAAUGCAUAGCCGACCUGAGAGGGUGAUCGGCCACACUGGAACUGAGACACGGUCCAGACUCCUACGGGAGGCAGCAGUAGGGAAUCUUCCGCAAUGGGCGAAAGCCUGACGGAGCAACGCCGCGUGAGUGAUGAAGGUCUUCGGAUCGUAAAACUCUGUUAUUAGGGAAGAACAUAUGUGUAAGUAACUGUGCACAUCUUGACGGUACCUAAUCAGAAAGCCACGGCUAACUACGUGCCAGCAGCCGCGGUAAUACGUAGGUGGCAAGCGUUAUCCGGAAUUAUUGGGCGUAAAGCGCGCGUAGGCGGUUUUUUAGUCUGAUGUGAAAGCCCACGGCUCAACCGUGGAGGGUCAUUGGAAACUGGAAAACUUGAGUGCAGAAGAGGAAAGUGGAAUUCCAUGUGUAGCGGUGAAAUGCGCAGAGAUAUGGAGGAACACCAGUGGCGAAGGCGACUUUCUGGUCUGUAACUGACGCUGAUGUGCGAAAGCGUGGGGAUCAAACAGGAUUAGAUACCCUGGUAGUCCACGCCGUAAACGAUGAGUGCUAAGUGUUAGGGGGUUUCCGCCCCUUAGUGCUGCAGCUAACGCAUUAAGCACUCCGCCUGGGGAGUACGACCGCAAGGUUGAAACUCAAAGGAAUUGACGGGGACCCGCACAAGCGGUGGAGCAUGUGGUUUAAUUCGAAGCAACGCGAAGAACCUUACCAAAUCUUGACAUCCUUUGACAACUCUAGAGAUAGAGCCUUCCCCUUCGGGGGACAAAGUGACAGGUGGUGCAUGGUUGUCGUCAGCUCGUGUCGUGAGAUGUUGGGUUAAGUCCCGCAACGAGCGCAACCCUUAAGCUUAGUUGCCAUCAUUAAGUUGGGCACUCUAAGUUGACUGCCGGUGACAAACCGGAGGAAGGUGGGGAUGACGUCAAAUCAUCAUGCCCCUUAUGAUUUGGGCUACACACGUGCUACAAUGGACAAUACAAAGGGCAGCGAAACCGCGAGGUCAAGCAAAUCCCAUAAAGUUGUUCUCAGUUCGGAUUGUAGUCUGCAACUCGACUACAUGAAGCUGGAAUCGCUAGUAAUCGUAGAUCAGCAUGCUACGGUGAAUACGUUCCCGGAUCU
rnacentral:rRNA from 1 species